UAAGGAAUUGGCGGGGGAGCACCACAAGGGGUGAAGCCUGCGGUUCAAUUGGAGUCAACGCCAGAAAUCUUACCCGGAGAGACAGCAGAAUGAAGGUCAAGCUGAAGACUUUACCAGACAAGCUGAGAGGUGGUGCAUGGCCGUCGCCAGCUCGUGCCGUGAGAUGUCCUGUUAAGUCAGGUAACGAGCGAGAUCCUCGCCACUAGUUGCUAUCAUUAUUCUCAGGAAUAGUGGGGCGAAUUAGUGGGACUGCCGUUGUUAAAACGGAGGAAGGAGGGGGCUACGGCAGGUCAGUAUGCCCCGAAACUCUGGGGCCACACGCGGGCUGCAAUGGUAGCGACAAUGAGCUCCAAACUCGAAAGAGAGUGGCAAUCUCUAAACGCUACCACAGUUAUGACUGAGGGCUGUAACUCGCCCUCACGAAUAUGGAAUCCCUAGUAACCGCGUGUCAUUACCGCGCGGUGAAUACGUCCCUGCUCCUUGCACACACCGCCA
rnacentral:rRNA from 1 species